rnacentral:misc_RNA from 1 species
GAAAUGCGAUAAGUAAUGUGAAUUGCAGAAUUCAGUGAAUCAUCGAAUCUUUGAACGCACCUUGCGCUCCUUGGUAUUCCUUGGAGCAUGCCUGUUUGAGAUCAGAUCUUAAAUGCAUUAGCUGGAUCUCAGUAUGUGCUUGGUUCCACUCGGCGUGAUAAGUAUCACUCGCUGAGGACACUUUUGUAAAAAAAAGGUGGCCAGGAAAUACAGGUGAACCGCUUCUAACAGUCUAUUAAAUUAGACAAAUAAUUUUAAGAUCUGAUCUCAAAUCAGGUAGGACUACCCGCUGAACUUAA